rnacentral:rRNA from 1 species
GAUGAACGCUGGCGGCGUGCCUAAUACAUGCAAGUCGAGCGAACAGAUGAGGAGCUUGCUCCUCUGACGUUAGCGGCGGACGGGUGAGUAACACGUGGAUAACCUACCUAUAAGACUGGGAUAACUUCGGGAAACCGGAGCUAAUACCGGAUAAUAUAUUGAACCGCAUGGUUCAAUAGUGAAAGACGGUUUUGCUGUCACUUAUAGAUGGAUCCGCGCCGCAUUAGCUAGUUGGUAAGGUAACGGCUUACCAAGGCAACGAUGCGUAGCCGACCUGAGAGGGUGAUCGGCCACACUGGAACUGAGACACGGUCCAGACUCCUACGGGAGGCAGCAGUAGGGAAUCUUCCGCAAUGGGCGAAAGCCUGACGGAGCAACGCCGCGUGAGUGUUGAAGGUCUUCGGAUCGUAAAACUCUGUUAUUAGGGGAGAACAAAUGUGUAAGUAACUAUGCACGUCUUGACGGUACCUAAUCAGAAAGCCACGGCUAACUACGUG